rnacentral:lncRNA from 1 species
CAGAAUGCCUGGCAUGAGUAGAGAUGUCUUUUGAGGAAGGAGUUUCUUUAAGUUUCACCCAAUUUAGAUGCUAAGAUAAGGAAUUUCCGAGGAUCUACUAUGUAAAAUGCACUGUUAGAUUGUAUGGAGUUUCAAAAAGAAGUAUACAACAAAGUUUCUUUUUUAAGAUGCUUAUACUCUAGUAUGAGAAUUAAAAUAUGAAAACAUGAGCAUCUACCGUAGCCUUCUGGAGAAUAUGUGUUAUCUAAUUAAGAGAAUGGGAUAAUCACAAUAGACAGGGAAAGUCAGAAAAGAAUUCAUGGGAGAGGCCUUAAAAAAAAAAAAAAAGAAUGGUUAUUGGGUUGUUUUGGGAGAGUUGAGACCAUAACAAUAGAGAGAUGAUUGUGAAUAGAUUUCAGUAUAACUUGAAAGGCAUAUUUAGGAAUUUAAACUUUUAUUUUUAUGCAGUUGGUAACCAUUUUGUGCCUUUGCAUGGAUAGGAAAUGGUAGGAUGAAAAUGGUAUUGAAAGAAAAAGACCUGGAUGUGCUUGAAUAAGGAGAAGCUGAAAGCAGCAAGCACAAUGAAACAGGCUGCAUCCUUGGAGAAACACA